rnacentral:rRNA from 1 species
GGAUGAACGCUGGCGGCGUGCCUAAUACAUGCAAGUCGAGCGAACGGACGAGAAGCUUGCUUCUCUGAUGUUAGCGGCGGACGGGUGAGUAACACGUGGAUAACCUACCUAUAAGACUGGGAUAACUUCGGGAAACCGUAGCUAAUACCGGAUAAUAUUUUGAACCGCAUGGUUCAAAAGUGAAAGACGGUCUUGCUGUCACUUAUAGAUGGAUCCGCGCUGCAUUAGCUAGUUGGUAAGGUAACGGCUUACCAAGGCAACGAUGCAUAGCCGACCUGAGAGGGUGAUCGGCCACACGGGAACUGAGACACGGUCCAGACUCCUACGGGAGGCAGCAGUAGGGAAUCUUCCGCAAUGGGCGAAAGCCUGACGGAGAAACGCCGCGUGAGUGAUGAAGGUCUUCGGAUCGUAAAGCUCUGUUAUUAGGGAAGAACAUAUGUGUAAGUAACUGUGCACAUCUUGACGGUACCUAAUCAGAAAGCCACGGCUAACUAC